rnacentral:lncRNA from 1 species
CCAGUUAAUUUGAAAAAUAUCUUAGAGCAUGCAAAAUCCUCAAAGACUUCAAGACAGCUCUGGGGUUUGUUCUUUCUCUUAUCCUCAAGGAGAAAAAAGAAUGGAAGAGAGAGAUUCCUUCUUACUGUAAAGAUGAAUCCUGAUUUCAAUUUUCUGCCUUUGCUUGCAAUCAGCUCUCAAACUGCUCGUAAGGGGAGUGCCUGGGAUAGCUGUUUCUGUGAAGCUCCUGCAAAAGUAAGUAAAAUGCAUUAAUUCUUGCUAUACUUGUGUGGUGGACAGAUGAGUGAACUUUUGCCUUAAACAUUUCUUGGUACAUAAGGUGCAAGCAAACCAAAACCCCGAACAAGCCAUCUGUUCCCAGCGGAAACAGGACUGAGCUGCUGCGACCCCUGAAAUGGUCUCCCUGCGACCACCCGGGACACACCGAGCCUGCGCUGAACCGGACCACGAUCGGACAGAGACUUUGGGACCUGGACUGCAAAUUACUGCCGCUUAACACAACUUUUAUAAAACUUGCUUAGCCGCACUCCCUAGUUCAGUGAGAAAGGGCCCCAGAGCUGGUGCAGACUGGAAAGAUAAGGGAGUUACCAGCAGUUUGCAUUCCUAUGCGUCACACUCCAGGAGGGAGGAUGUCAAGGCUUUGAAAUAAGGCCUGCUUGGGCGCCAGGACCCUGGGAAACAAAGCCUCCCCUCACUGCUGAAACCGUGUUAAUUAGGGGGGGGGGGUCUGGAUUAUAUCCUCUUCCUCAGGACCUUGGAAGAUAACACCUACUGUCACUGCUGGGGCAGUGCUAAUUGCUGGAACAACACCUGUUUGUCAGGGCCCUGAGAAAGAAGGGCAGAACCCGAGGAAUCAACACAUUUGUCAGCAGAAACCGCAACAGUAAAGAUAAGGGAGAAAAGCAG